rnacentral:lncRNA from 1 species
CUUUGAGCAAAUUAAACAGACGACCUCUUUUAUACUUAACUUUCUAUUGUAUUGCCUAUCUAUAUACUGCUAUCAAGUUUUAUAUCAGUCCUAUUAAUAAGCAGGUCACUUUCUCUACAAAUAUGUAUUACCACUCAAGAACAUACUUGACUUAUUCCAGCCUGACCUAUAGUUAUAAUAUGAUUUACUUCAACCGUGGCAGAAACAAACCAAGCCCUCUUCGACUUAACAGAAGAGGAAUCAGAACUAGUUUCAGGUUUCAAUGUCAAAUAAGUCACUGGUCCACUCACACUAAUUUUCAUAGCCGAAUAUAAAAAUAUUAUUUUAAUAAAUGCCUUAACAUCCAUUCUCUUUCUAGGCCCACUACACAAAAUUAAUCUUCCAGAACUUUACUCAAUCAACUUUAUAACUGUAACUCUACCACUAUCAUCAACAUUUCUAUGAAUCUGAGCAUCAUACCCACUCUUCCAUCAUGACCAACUUAUACAUCUCCUAUGGAAAAUAUUUUUACCAUUAACAUUAGCAUUCUGCAUAUGACAUAUCUCCCUACCAAUCUUUUUAGCAAGCAUCCCACCAUACAUAUAG